AUUCUCAUGCCUCAGCCUCCAGAGUAGCUGGGAUUACAGGCACACGCCACCAUGCCCAGCUAAUUUUUGUAUUUUUUGGUAGAGACGGGGUUUCACCAUGUUGGCCAGGCUGGUCUCCAACUCCUGGAUCAAGUGAUCCACCCACCUUGGCCUCCCAAAGGGCUGGGAUUACAGGCGUGAGCCACCACGCCCGGCCAGGCUGAGUUUUUCUCCAGCGGUUCAUCGAGUCCUCUGACAAAGCAAGGAGCCGAUAUAGGGCCAGUGGGACGGUCGCCAGUCAAGGGGCUGGGCUUGGUGGAAAGAUUAAUACUCACUGGACGUCCAGUCGAAACGCCCUGAAACCUAUGAUGCUGUCGACCAAACGAAGGCCUGGAAUACCAAAAUAGCCACAUAGGCACAGCCCUUCCCCAUGUUUCUGAGCGCAGUGUUUCCUCUGGGGUCACACAGGUGUCUUCUUGAUCAGCCUCAGCCAUGCUUGGUGAGAGCCGGGCACUGGGGGAGCCAGGCACUGUGCUCUCCUGUGACGCUGUAGACACCAUCCUGAGCUGUGCAGACCCCAGCGCUGCCCAGAGCGGAGCAGAGGGGGCCGGGCCAAGGAGUGGGAGCUGGGGACAGGGAACCUGGAGGCGAGGUGGAUAGAGCCCCGGAGACCGCCCUAGGGACCUACUCCAGACCAAACUCUGCCAGACCUCGGAGCACUGGGGCCUCCUUCUCUGCCCUCCCUCCUCAGGCAAGGCCUCUGGAGCUCCCCAGCUCUCGUGGAAGCCCCAGGGGCCCAGGACUGACCCAGCCUCUUUCACAGCCAGAGUCCUGGUGGAGGAUGACGAGAUCAUGCAGGGAUUCAUCAGGGCUUUCAGGCCCCUGCCCAGGCACCUAUGGUACUUGCUGGACUUGAAACAGAUGGAAGGUGAGCUCUGCCUAGGACACGCCCAGCCUCAGCUGGAGGAGAAGCUGCCUCUUUCUCAGCCUGAGCCCCCUGCUGGCUCUGUAGGACUCAGGUCACUCCUUUUUGGCCCCUCCCCUGUUCUCCCCCGGCCUCCUGGGGUGCAGAGCCACCCUGAGAUGGGGUCCUGCCCUCUCCCGCCAUCUUUUCACCCCCUCUCUAGCCCUGGUCUAGGUGAGCUCCUGCCUGGUCCUGCCUCCUGGGUAAUGUAUCAGCCUCGCCCACUGUCUGCGGCUGCCUCUCUGGGCCCCUGGGACAGACCCCACUGUGUCCAGUUCAGGGCUGACCCUGCAGGAAUGAACUGGGGUCUGGUCUUGUGAUUCCAGAAAGCCAGGCUGCUGACGUCCCCAUCCACCAGCCCAGCCUGUGUCUUGCAGCCAUUGUAUUAGUCACAGGCUCGUGCCCUAUAGUCAGACCUCAUGCUUUCUUUUGGAGUUCGGGGUGUUGGUUGGAAAUAGUGGGGGCUAUAGGAGGAAGGAGGAUGGUUACACGGAAGGGCAUGAGAAGCUGGGGACCUGCAGGUCUCAGUCCCACAUUCUUUUUUUUUUUUUUAAGAUGGAGUCUCGCUCUGUCACCAGGCUGGAGUGCAGUGGCACAAUCUCAGCUCACUGCAACCUCGACCUCCUGGGUUCAAGCGAUUCUCCUGGCUCAGCCCCCCGACAUUUUUUAAAAUUUAUUUAUUUUCUUAGAGAUGGGGUCUUGCCAUGUUGCCCAGUUGGUCUCAAACCCCUGGGCUAAGAUAAUCCUCCCACCUCAGCCUCCCA
rnacentral:lncRNA from 1 species